UUUCCUUCCUUUCUCUUUCUUCUCUCCUUCUCUUUCGCGAUUCUCUGGAAGCGAAGAGAUUCUUUUUUUGCUUCAAUCGCAAAAUUCUCAUUUUUUUGCUUCUGUUGAUUAACCAAUCUCCAAUCGAAGCUUGUGAUUAAACAAUCUUCAGUCGGUUCUGUUGAUUAAGCAAUCAGAACAACAAAUCAGAGCUACUGAUCAAUCGACGAGAUUUGUGGAUAUAAAACCGUUGAGAGUCUUCUCAAUCAAAUCGAAGCUUUACCUUCACUGCUAUUGGAGUAUUUGAUUAACCAAUCUUUAUCUCAUGAAUUGUGUGAUAUUAUCAAAUCCUAGGUUUAAAGAAGUGAAAUAUCUUAUUGCAGAACCUAUUGCUUUGUGGGUGAAGUGGAGAGGGAAAUGGCAGGCUUGAAUCAGAUGUGCCAAAGCGGAUUGGCCAUUGUCGACGUUGAGAGGGAAACCGGCUGGAAUCAAAUGAUGUUUGGAGUUGUGGUUCGCGCAUCUGUCUUCAAUGGAAUAGUCCAACAUAUUUGAUGUUGCAGGUUGUAGCUGAAGCAGCUAGAGACAUAAUAAUCUGGAAAGAAUUUGCAAUGGGAGCUACUAGAAGUACAAGUUAUCAUGAUCUUGGGAUAAUGCUUGUGAAGCUUCAUAGUAUGAUUUUGCAACAAUACAUGGAUCCGGUUUGGCUUGAGAACUCAUUUUUUUUGUGGGUACAAAAAUGUAACAAUGCAGUGAAUGUAGAGAGUAUUGAAUUGCUGAAUGAGGAAAUGGCUUCACAAGAGGCUGAUUGUGUAUUGUUCAGGCAUGUGUAACUCGGAUGUCCAGGCUAGCCGUAAAAGACCAAAACUUGAUAUACGACGUGCAGAUGCAACAAAUGCAUCACAAAUUAUUACUGAAGCAUCACCACUAGAAUUGACUGCAAUUGAUUCGGAACCUUUUGGUUCAUAUUCUUUGCAUUUACUUAAUCUAUGUAAAUACCCGUUGCCAACAAUUUGAUUAAAUUUAUUUUCCAAAAUAAAAACAAACAAAAAGUUCUUAUUUUGUAAAA